rnacentral:rRNA from 1 species
AGUGAACGCUGGCGGCGUGCUUAACACAUGCAAGUCGAACGAGAACGGAUUAUAGCUUGCUAUAAUUGUCAGCUAAGUGGCGCACGGGUGAGUAAUAUAUAGGUAACGUGCCCCAAAGAAGAGGAUAACAGAUGGAAACGUCUGCUAAGACUCUAUAUGCCUUUAUGACAAAAGUCAGCAAGGGAAAUAUUUAUAGCUUUGGGAUCGGCCUGUACAGUAUCAGUUAGUUGGUGAGGUAAUGGCUCACCAAGACAAUGACGCUUAACUGGUUUGAGAGGAUGAUCAGUCACACUGGGACUGAGACACGGUCCAGACUCCUACGGGAGGCAGCAGUGGGGAAUAUUGCACAAUGGACGAAAGUCUGAUGCAGCAACGCCGCGUGGAGGAUGACACAUUUCGGUGCGUAAACUCCUUUUAUAUGGGAAGAUAACUGACGGUACCAUAUGAAUAAGCACCGG